GUUUGAUAAACCCCGACAAAAGACAACCUGGGAGAGGGACAAAAAGCUCCGUGGGUUUUUCCCUAAGGAAUUUGAUUGACUGUUUGGUGGAGUUGGCGCCGCGCUUUUCGUAGACUACACUUGAAAAUCUCGAAAACGAUGCGUAUAAAAUGAGGAGGUUCUCUGCAUGGUGCUUCAGCAAUCGAGCAUCCAAGACAAGUCGCAGGCAAAAACAUCCCGAGAUACCCACUGCAACCAUGGAGAAUCCACAGUUGAAUAACGGCAACAAGAAGUCAGAGAUUGUAAAUGAAGGCAUGACUGGUGCAAGUAGCAUCAGUGCCACCAAUAUCAUAAUGAACCAUGACUUCUCUGGAGGACUGCAUUCUUGGCAUCCAAAUUGCUGCAAUGGCUUUGUGGUUUCGGCAGAGUCAGGUCACC
rnacentral:misc_RNA from 1 species